rnacentral:tRNA from 1 species
UGUUCUGUGGCUUGGUUGGUUAAAGCGCCGGUCUAGCGAAUUCGGAGUUGUGGGUUCGAAUCUCAUCAGAACGC